rnacentral:rRNA from 1 species
UACGAAGGGGGCUAGCGUUGUUCGGAAUCACUGGGCGUAAAGGGCGCGUAGGCGGCCAAUCAAGUCGGGGGUGAAAGCCUGUGGCUUAACCACAGAAUUGCCUUCGAUACUGUUUGGCUUGAGACCGGAAGAGGUAAGUGGAACUGCGAGUGUAGAGGUGAAAUUCGUAGAUAUUCGCAAGAACACCAGUGGCGAAGGCGGCUUACUGGUCCGGUUCUGACGCUGAGGCGCGAAAGCGUGGGGAGCAAACAGG